CCGGCUCUCGCCCAGUGGCGAAUAUAUCUCGCUGGGGCUUCCAAAUGUUGUACCCGAGCGAGUUAGAGAAACGCCACACUUCGAGACGAAUUUAAGAGUCCUUCAUUAG
rnacentral:pre_miRNA from 1 species